rnacentral:rRNA from 1 species
GACGAACGCUGGCGGCGUGCUUAACACAUGCAAGUCGAACGGAAAGGCCCUGCUUUUGUGGGGUGCUCGAGUGGCGAACGGGUGAGUAACACGUGAGUAACCUGCCCUUGACUUUGGGAUAACUUCAGGAAACUGGGGCUAAUACCUGAUAGGAGCUCCUUCUGCAUGGUGGGGGUUGGAAAGUUUCGGCGGUUGGGGAUGGACUCGCGGCUUAUCAGCUUGUUGGUGGGGUAGUGGCUUACCAAGGCUUUGACGGGUAGCCGGCCUGAGAGGGUGACCGGCCACAUUGGGACUGAGAUACGGCCCAGACUCCUACGGGAGGCAGCAGUGGGGAAUAUUGCACAAUGGGCGGAAGCCUGAUGCAGCAACGCCGCGUGCGGGAUGACGGCCUUCGGGUUGUAAACCGCUUUCGCCUGUGACGAAGCGUGAGUGACGGUAAUGGGUAAAGAAGCACCGGCUAACUACGUG